UUGAACCCCUAACCUCAAGCAAUCCUCCUGCCUCAGCCUUCCAACGUGCUGGGAUUACAGGUCAGCUUGUCCUGGCAGAUGCUGUUCAUGACAGUGCUUUCCUGCCUGGGCCUGGGGAGAGGCCCUCCUGGGAGAUUCCUCUUCUGGCUGAGCCUGUACCUGGGCCUGUGUGCAGGUAAGGAAGAAAAACCACCUACAAGGACUCCUCAAACUCACAAUGAACAUAGACUGUUCUCAUAGGGCUUUGCCAUGCCUGGAGUUCUUCAACCCAGGAAAAGGGGCUACAAGACUUUGACGUUCCACUCAGAGGUCCAGGGAUUUUGGUGGGAGAGAUGACAUAAGGACUGAAAUCACACAAAGGUGCAAAUGACUAAUGCCAGUAGGUUUCUGGAAGCAGGUUUCCUGGGACUGGAGGGUGCACUCCAAGGAAAGCUGAGUGAUGAGGAGGCACCAGGAAGGGAGGAAGUGCUCAGAAAAGGGGAGGCCGGUGGCAGGAGUGACUCCUGGUCUAGCAGGUCUUCAUGUCCAUCUUGUUUUCACUCCAGGGGAAUUUCAGCCUUAGCUUUGCCCAGGUUUGGGUGGCAAUGAUAGGGACAGGAGGCAGGGCAAUUCUGGGCAGAAGUGGGCGGGUCCCCAGCAAGGGCCCCACCCUCAAGCCUGAAACUGUGGUCCCAAGUGAGAUCAUACAUUCCUGUUUUCCUGCUUGAAUGUUGCCUUUUCCAAAACCACCCAUGGCCUGCCCCACCCGCUCUCCUGUGCCAUGAAAGCCUAGGCGCCACCGGCAGAGAGAGAAGAGAAGCAGCAGCUGGAUGUCAGAGACUACGGUUGAAUGUCGGAGAGAAGGGGCUUGACUUCAGAGGGACAGCUUGAUGGCAUAGCUUUGGAGAGGAGUCUGGCCAGGGAUGGCCGGACUCUGGGGGAAGAUUACAUACCCACUCCCUCCCCUUUUCAACUCCACUUCUCACUGAGAGCCACUUUCAUCAGCAAUAAAACCCCAUGCAUUUAUCAUC